UACGUAGGGGGCGAGCGUUGUCCGGAUUUAUUGGGCGUAAAGAGCGUGUAGGCGGCCAGGUAGGUCUGCUGUGAAAACUCGAGGCUCAACCUCGAGACGUCGGCGGAAACCAUCUGGCUAGAGUCCGGAAGAGGAGAGUGGAAUUCCUGGUGUAGCGGUGAAAUGCGCAGAUAUCAGGAGGAACACCGAUGGCGAAGGCAGGUCUCUGGGCCACUACUGACGCUGAGGAGCGAAAGCGUGGGGAGCGAACAGG
rnacentral:rRNA from 1 species